AAUAAUUUGAAGGCAUGAUAAAUGCCCUACACCCUCUGCUAGUUUAUUUGUGCAUCCUUUGCAGAACAUCCCAGUGCCCUACCGGACAACCUAUUUUGGGAUGAACUGUAAAGAAACAGAAAAUCACUUUCAUAGGAAAUUCUUCUCUCACCCACCAAGCACCACCACUAAAAUUGUUUCCAGUCGUAAAAACUAUAGACCAAAAUAGAAUGGCAACUUCUCAACCACAUAAUCCAUUCCAUAACAAAGCAAAUGGCCAAAGCAAAUUAUAAUUCAGCUAAACGAGCUAGUAGAUAUUCAAAGACUUGACGUACAUUCAUGUCCAACCCAGAACUAGACUCAAAUUACUUCGCAACAGCACUAGAAAAGCAAAAUACAUAUAUCAAAAACCUUCUCAAGCAAGAAUUAAUAACUUAAACUGCUCCAUCCACCUGCGAAAGGAGCAUGAAAGAACAGUAUCACAUUAGUAUCAAUCCAAUUAUGAUACAGGUUGCCAACCCCUCACCCAGUCUGUCAAAUUAGACGCAUUUCUAAUUAUGUCGUCAAUAGAAUCACUCCUUAAUGCCACUACAAUAUCUUCUGCAUAACUUUCUUUUGCCUCCUCUAACAGAACUUGGAAAAUUUCACACUCAAUGUUGUUGGAAAUCUUGUUCUGUGAAUACCCCCUCUUAUUCAGGCGAUCAUACAGGACAGAAUUGUCUGUUUGAAGCACCACUACACGAUCAAACCACCGUUGUGGAAAGAAAUCACAGCCAUGGUAGUCAACUAUAUUUCCCCCUUCUUCCAUUAUAUCCUCAAGCUCAUCACAUACCUUGCAAAAUCCAAGCCUUUACAGUUUCACUACAUGUUACUCAAUCUAACGUCUAUCUAUGAACUAAAAUGGGUAAUUGUUCAAUUUAGAGUUUAAAACAAAUUGAGGAGAAAUUAAGUGAAAGCAAAAUUAAAUCCUUAAUCGCUGGAGAAAAAUAGAAAAUAUAAAAGCAAAAAUGAGUAACUUUGGGAAUUAGGGUAAAGAGAGGCACCAGGUCUUCAUUGAUGAUAUGACAUUCGAAUUGCUCGUCCCAGCCGUCGUGCAAGUUCUUCUCUUUGACCAAAUCUCCGAUAUUUAUGUGGCGGAGCUGCGAAGCCUCCGCCAGAGCAGACGAUGUCGUCGUUUUGCCUGUUCCGGGCGUUCCUGUUAUCAGGAUAUUUGGCUUCUUCCUUUUGUUACUAUCUUGCGCCAUGGCUACCGCUAUACACUCGCAAAACCCUAACUUCUGGUACUGGCUAUCAGCAACUUCAAUUGCUUUGUUAGGGUUUUAG
rnacentral:misc_RNA from 1 species